rnacentral:rRNA from 1 species
GCCCUACGGGGGGCAGCAGUGAGGAAUAUUGGUCAAUGGCCGAGAGGCUGAACCAGCCAAGUCGCGUGAGGGAUGACGGCCCUACGGGUUGUAAACCUCUUUUGUCGGGGAGCAAGACCCGCCUCGUGCAGGCGGAGCGAGAGUACCCGAAGAAAAAGCAUCGGCUAACUCCGUGCCAGCAGCCGCGGUAAUACGGAGGAUGCGAGCGUUAUCCGGAUUUAUUGGGUUUAAAGGGUGCGCAGGCGGCACGGCAAGCCGGCGGUCAAAUCGCGGGGCUCAACCCCGCCCAGCCGUCGGAACAGCCG